rnacentral:rRNA from 1 species
AGAGUUUGAUCCUGGCUCAGGAUGAACGCUAGCUACAGGCUUAACACAUGCAAGUCGAGGGGCAGCAUUUUAGUUUGCUUGCAAACUAAAGAUGGCGACCGGCGCACGGGUGAGUAACACGUAUCCAACCUGCCGAUAACUCGGGGAUAGCCUUUCGAAAGAAAGAUUAAUAUCCGAUAGUAUAUUAAAACCGCAUGGUUUUACUAUUAAAGAAUUUCGGUUAUCGAUGGGGAUGCGUUCCAUUAGUUUGUUGGCGGGGUAACGGCCCACCAAGACAACGAUGGAUAGGGGUUCUGAGAGGAAGGUCCCCCACAUUGGAACUGAGACACGGUCCAAACUCCUACGGGAGGCAGCAGUGAGGAAUAUUGGUCAAUGGACGAGAGUCUGAACCAGCCAAGUAGCGUGAAGGAUGACUGCCCUAUGGGUUGUAAACUUCUUUUAUAAAGGAAUAAAGUCGGGUAUGCAUACCCGUUUGCAUGUACUUUAUGAAUAAGGAUCGGCUAACUCCGUGCCAGCAGCCGCGGUAAUACGGAGGAUCCGAGCGUUAUCCGGAUUUAUUGGGUUUAAAGGGAGCGUAGGUGGAUUGUUAAGUCAGUUGUGAAAGUUUGCGGCUCAACCGUAAAAUUGCAGUUGAAACUGGCAGUCUUGAGUACAGUAGAGGUGGGCGGAAUUCGUGGUGUAGCGGUGAAAUGCUUAGAUAUCACGAAGAACUCCGAUUGCGAAGGCAGCCUGCUAAGCUGCAACUGACAUUGAGGCUCGAAAGUGUGGGUAUCAAACAGGAUUAGAUACCCUGGUAGUCCACACGGUAAACGAUGAAUACUCGCUGUUUGCGAUAUACGGCAAGCGGCCAAGCGAAAGCGUUAAGUAUUCCACCUGGGGAGUACGCCGGCAACGGUGAAACUCAAAGGAAUUGACGGGGGCCCGCACAAGCGGAGGAACAUGUGGUUUAA